CAUUUAUUGCCAUUAGAUGUCGCUGUUGUAACCGAAAUGCCGAACGAAGUUUCCUGCCCUUGUCAUAAAGUUCUUCCAAGUUAUAGAUUAUUUAUAAACUUUUUAAUAUGCUGAAAAUAUUGAUUUCAUUUGGAAUUGGUCUUUAUGCAGGAAUAUAUGCAUGCCAAAAUUAUGAGAUACCUCGUGUGGAUGAACCAGGAGAAAUAUGGAGAAAAGUUAGAGAAUAUCUUGAUAGUCAUAAAAAGCCUCCAGAUAGUUAAAAACAAUUAUUAUUAAAUAAUUCUAAAUAGGUUUAAUUCUAGUAAAAAAAAUUAUUUAAGUAAAUUACAUUUGCUUUCACCAAUCUUCAUGUCAUUUAAAUAAUUUGUACACAUUGAUAUUAAAAAAUGAAAAGACAUUUUCUUCAUGGUUAUAAA